rnacentral:sRNA from 1 species
AUUUACAUCUAGGUGCAGAGAGAAACCUCCCUCCCUCCACUCUCUCUCUCUCUCUCUCUAACCCACACGCUUGUGCUUUGUGCAAGUAGCACCAGUUCAUUGGGACAUAUGAAGAAGGAAGAGGAGGAUGCCAAUGCCACCAUCUCCUUCAACCUGCCUUCCCUUCCUCACCAUGCUUCCCUGCUCCUCCUCGUCUCCGGGAGGCCAUUCCGGUGACCUCGUCGUCGCCGCCGCCGCCGCCGCCGCCGUCGUCUUCUCUCAGUAGUUCUUCUGCAGAGCCAAGGCAUGGAGGCCGCCAUGCGAGCUUAGCUCAACAAAAUGGAGGAGAUCGAGUUUUGGUGAAGAAGAAACCGUUCCAUGGUACUGAUCAUAUGAUGGUAUGCAGGAAGGCCAGGCAUUUUUUCUCUCUCUGAAUUAAUUCAAAUCCUCUCUUUUUUCUUUCUUUUUCUUUUCUGCUUUCCUCUCCUUGGCACCUGUUGCCGUUCUUGCUGCUUUAAUUAGCUUGCUGAGACUGUCUUUUAGCUCGUUUGAUUAUGAUGUAAGGCCAUUGGUCUUAUCACCAGAAAUUGAGAUGGUCCUGAAGAUUUCAUAUAUAUGACUAUAUAUAUGUAUAAAGUCACCUUUUAAUUGGU